UACGUAGGGGGCUAGCGUUGUCCGGAAUCAUUGGGCGUAAAGAGCGUGUAGGCGGCCCGAUAAGUCCGCUGUGAAAGUCCAAGGCUCAACCUUGGGAUGCCGGUGGAAACUGUCGGGCUAGAGUCCGGAAGAGGCGAGUGGAAUUCCUGGUGUAGCGGUGAAAUGCGCAGAUAUCAGGAGAAACACCAAUGGCGAAGGCAGCUCGCUGGGACGGUACUGACGCUGAGACGCGAAAGCAUGGGGAGCGAACAGG
rnacentral:rRNA from 1 species